rnacentral:lncRNA from 1 species
CUUGUCACUGUCACUUAACAAUGGCAGUUAGACAUUCACUUGUCUAAAGAUCACAUGCUAAUUAUGUAGCAAUCCUGAAUGUGCAACAUGCAACGCACCAUCUUGUUCUCUAACUCCAUGAAAAAUAGGAAAUGAUCUUGUACCCCAAUAUUAUCGUCAUAUAAUUAUACGUACUCACUUAUUUCUGCCGAACUUGCAAUACUGCUGAUCAUCAUCGAGAGAUCCUAGCCAAAAUUGAACAAAAAAAUAGAGCUUCAACAAUUAAUAAAUAUCAGUGCACGUAGCUUUAAUCCAAGGCAAUUUAAAUGGCGACUCUUAUAUUUAGAAGAAUAUGAAAUGGAUCAGCAUGUGCCUAGGAGAGGUCUAGUGAUUCCUCACUUAUACUGUUAUACAUACGUGACGAUGGAGCAAUAUGUGAUGGCACAAAACAUAAAAAAUGCAAUCCUUCUCGAGCUUGGAGUGGUGCUGUGCUAUGGGCACAUUGGCAAUCACGAAACAUAACUGAAGUUAUCCUGUCAUUUUGGGACCAUUUACAGUGACAUAUAACAUGUUAUAAAGUAAUCAUACCUCGUGAUAUAAAGUAAGCACAACAUGUCAACAUUCUGUCCAACAAUUAGUGUGCAGCCAACUGUGGGUCAAAUAUGUCUCAGUUCAGAGCAACAGGGACCAGGGACUUGAAGUUGACAACACUAAACUUGAGAUGGCAAUCAUCAGUAUGUAUCUUUUCUACCAAGGAAUGUCCAAAACGUGCUCAAUUGUUUCUGCAUACAAGAAUGGUUUACUCGCAGGUAGAAAUGGGAAAUUUGACCUGAAUGCAAAUGUACAACAAGGUAAAGGAAAAUGAAGUCUUCAGUUUGAUAGUAGUUAGUGGGUUGUGUGACUUUGAUGAAAUAAACAGGUUCUGUUUUGUGAUGUUUGCUGACGGCGAGCAUAUGACACGGGCGAGGAAAGGGUCGGAAUGUACAGUUAUUCAGUGCCUUUCUAGUGCCUUUCUGGGAAUAACCUAGCAUGAAAUUCAUGUUUUUAUAGAAAAUAUAAAGUGACUACAGAGUCCAGGUAGAUAACCUCAAUACGGUGGAUGAUGAACUUCGAGUCGAUACCAAGCAUCAGCUGGACAGCAUCCCUGGCUAUUUUGUUGAAAUAACUAAUGAAAACUGUUAACAAUGUCGAAGGAACCAAAAUGACGAAAAUAGCAUAGAGUAAAGCUGUGAUCUGCGCCCGCCCGCACGAAGAACUCAUCGGUACUUGUAGAUCUCUCUCUGCCUCGCGCUCAUC